rnacentral:rRNA from 1 species
GUCCCGGGCCGGGGCGCGAAGUACGCGGAGGACAUUACCGAGUUUACAACUCCCAAACCCAAUGUGAACGUUACCAAACUGUUGCCCCGGCGGGGUCACGCCCCGGGUGCGUCGCAGCCCCGGAACCAGGCGCCCGCCGGAGGAACCAACCAAACUCUUUCUGUAGUCCCCUCGCGGACGUAUUUCUUACAGCUCUGAGCAAAAAUUCAAAAUGAAUCAAAACUUUCAACAACGGAUCUCUUGGUUCUGGCAUCGAUGAAGAACGCAGCGAAAUGCGAUAAGUAAUGUGAAUUGCAGAAUUCAGUGAAUCAUCGAAUCUUUGAACGCACAUUGCGCCCGCCAGUAUUCUGGCGGGCAUGCCUGUCCGAGCGUCAUUUCAACCCUCGAACCCCUCCGGGGGAUCGGCGUUGGGGAUCGGGACCCCUCACACGGGUGCCGGCCCCGUAUUAUAGUGGCGGUCUCGCCGCAGCCUCUCCUGCUCUUUGGUGUGCGCAACCCCACACCCCCCACCGCGGCACGUCAACUUCUGUAAACACCCAACUGUCUGAGAUGUUGACCUCGGAUCAGGUAGGAAUACCCGCUGAACUUAAGCAUAUCAAUAAGCGGAGGAAAAGAAACCAACAGGGAUUGCCCCAGUAACGGCGAGUGAAGCGGCAACAGCUCAAAUUUGAAAUCUGGCGCGUCCGGGUCCGAGUUGUAAUUUGUAGAGGAUGCUUUUGGUGAGGUGCCGCCCGAGUUCCCUGGAACGGGACGCCACAGAGGGUGAGAGCCCCGUCUGGCUGGCCACCGAGCCUCUGUAAAGCUCCUUCGACGAGUCGAGUAGUUUGGGAAUGCUGCUCAAAAUGGGAGGUAUAUGUCUUCUAAAGCUAAAUAUUGGCCAGAGACCGAUAGCGCACAAGUAGAGUGAUCGAAAGAUGAAAAGCACCUUGAAAAGAGGGUUAAACAGUACGUGAAAUUGUUGAAAGGGAAGCGCUUGUGACCAGACUUGGGCGCGGCGGAUCAUCCGGGGUUCUCUCCGGUGCACUUCGCCGCGUUCAGGCCAGCAUCAGUUCGUCGCGGGGGAAAAAGGCUUCGGGAACGUGGCUCCUCCAGGAGUGUUAUAGCCCGUUGCAUAAUACCCUGCGGUGGACUGAGGACCGCGCAUCUGCAAGGAUGCUGCGAUCAUGAGAAGUU